AAUUGAUAACUUCCAAGCAUCUCAAGAGAGACAGUUGAAUUGAAAACUUCCAAGUAAUGAAAGGGGUAAUAAAGAGUGUGCCCUAUACCCUAGAAGAUCCAUU